GCCCUAGUAGCUUAAUUCACAAAGCGCCGGUCUUGUAAUCCGGAGACUGAAGGUUAAAAUCCGUCCUAGCGCC
rnacentral:tRNA from 1 species